rfam:Ciona savignyi cont_62702, whole genome shotgun sequence.
GGUAGCGUGGCCGAGCGGUCUAAGGCGCUGGUUUUAAGCACCAGUCAUUUCGAAGGCGUGGGUUCGAAUCCCACCGCUGCCA